UUUCAACUCUCAAGACUUGUCUAAAAAUAAAAUUAAAAGUGACCUGCGUCUGCAUUCAACUCUCAUUCUCGCAACUUUGUUAAUUUGUAAUUGAUUUUUUUUUUCGAGGAGAGAGGACUUGAUUAAGUUGUAUAAAGGGAAUGAUAAUACUGUAAAUUGCCAAAAUCACUACUAAGUACAAACAAAAUAUUCUAUGCAUGUGUGACAACACUUAUCUGCAUUUGUUUCAAGGGCGACCCCACCUCAGCUAUUCAAUCAAAGCACUGAAAUCGGAGCAAGAAGAUCCACCUUCUUAAACAGCAGUCCUGGUCGUUUCUUCUAGCUUCUUUGUUCUGCUCCUCAUUUCCUCUGCUUCUCUACGGCUUCACUUUUAACAUGAUCUCCAUGCACUGCAAGCCAUUCCUUCACUCGAACACCAACUCCAGUUUUUAAAACAUCAGUCACCAACUUUUCAUUAUAGAAUUGCUCAGCAAAACGGCAGUCACCAUCCUCAAUGAGUCACAAAUGCACCUAUUGCUUCAUGAUCAAGAAUCAAAACUUGGAGUGCCCAUCCUCUAAAAAUUAGGCCUUUGCCUUCCAUUCUUCCCUCAAAUCCUUCAGAUUCAUGGAUCACUUUAUGCAAAGCAGAGGAAUGAUUUUCUGGAAAAAGAGUGUCUUGGGAACUUACAGUAGAUUUCGUUGGAACUCUUCUCUCAGGACGUAGCAUAGCUUCUUGAAUCUCUGUUUCUAAUCGGAACAGGGUAGCAACGAGAAGCUUGGUGUGGUCGCAGAAUGUCUUUCUUUUGUUCAUGAGGCUGCCUGUCGAAACGCUGAAGAUUUGCCAGCAACUUGUAGGAAUCAAAUCAAAGCCCCUUUUAAAAAUUUAAUGACCAAAAGGAAGAAAAUCAAAAAAAUCUGCCUUGUG